GGAGAGGUCGCAUAGUGGUCGAGUGCCGCUCGGUGCUAACGAGCUAUAUCCGCAAGGGUAUCGUGGGUUCGAAUCCCACCCUCUCCG
rfam:Candidatus Daviesbacteria bacterium RIFCSPHIGHO2_01_FTLL_40_11 rifcsphigho2_01_scaffold_2712, whole genome shotgun sequence.